GACGAACGCUGGCGGCGUGCUUAACACAUGCAAGUCGAACGGAAAGGCCCUGCUUUGGUGGGGUGCUCGAUUGGCGAACGGGUGAGUAACACUGGAGUAACCUGCCCUUGACUUUGGGAUAACUUCAGGAAACGGGGGCUAAUACGGGAUAGGAGCUCCCGCUUCAUGGUGGGGGUGGGAAAGUUUCGGCGGUUGGGGAUGGACUCGCGGCUUAUCAGCUUGUUGGUGGGGUAGUGGCUUACCAAGGCUUUGACGGGUAGCCGGGCUGAGAGGAUGACCGGCUCAAUCGGGCUUGGGCUGAGGCCCAGCCUAGUCCGGGAGGCAGCAGUGGGGAAUGUUGCCUAAUGGGCGGAAGGCUGACGCAGCACCGCCACGUGCGGGAUAACGGCCUUCGGGUUGUAUACCAAUUUCCCUUGUCCCGAAGCGUGAGUGACGGUAAUGGGUAAAGAAGCCCCGGCUAACUACGUG
rnacentral:rRNA from 1 species